UAUUCCUGUGUGCAAUCCAUAGGUAAAGGCC
rnacentral:piRNA from 1 species